UAAGAAGGCUCCUGCAGAGCUCUGAGUCAGCAGAGGGGGAAGGCCUGUAAAGAACGAGAAACUCCAGGAAUAGUACCCUGUGCUUUCUUUUUUUCUCUGCUAUGAAAACUGUCUCGCCUGAGCACAAAAAAAGAAGCAUGAAUUCCUUGUUGCUGGAAUGGAUUUAUCAGAAGGGUCACAUAAAAUGCACCCAGAUAACCAAAGGUAGCACAGAAAGCACCACAGAGGGCAGACCUCAGUUGGUUAACAGGUGAAGAAUCAACAGUCCUGUCACCAGACCAGAUCCAGAGAACAGAAAUGUCCUGUCUGACAGGAGCAAGGAUAUGAGAUGGGGACAGGAAGCUGAAGAGGAUCCUGAUGGGAGUGGGUGAAAAUCCGCUGACUCUGCUGCGUGUUGGUAUAAAUGACACUGCCUGAUUCUCACUGGAACAGAUCAAGGAUGACUACGCUUGGCUGGGUAAGAUGCAGAAGCUCAAGUGAUGGGGGUUUUUCAGUAGAAUACUUCUGGUCCCUAGAGAAAGAGGGUGAAGUUGUGACAAGAUAAUAGAGAUCAACAGAUGGCUCAAAGGUUGGUGCUAUGAGGAGGAUUUGGGGAUGAUUUACCAUUGGGAGGCAUAGGCAGAAAGAGGACUCGUGUUGACUGAUGAAGUUCACUUGAGUACCUAGGGUAUUAGUGAUUCUGGGAUUAAAGCUGGCCUGAUUGAUGGGGAAGGGAUUUAAACUGGGAGAUGUUUGGAGAGACUUAUGAC